CUGGAGUUUCUUAAAUCUGUCUUCCCUCCAGACUGAAAACCUGCUUCCUCUGUAUCUCACGUUACAAUCCUAACUCAUAUGCAAAUCUCUCCAACUGGCAUGAUUUCACCAAGGGCAGUUUGGAAUUGCAGUGACAGAGGAAGUUUGGAUGUGAACACAGUUGUUCAUCUGAGAGGCUCCAUAGAACGAGCAUUUAGUGAGUUGGGUUUCAAGGUCUUUUACAGUCUUUUGGAGCUCAGGCUCUAAUUGAUACAUAGUUAGGAUUUUAUAAAUUUAAAAUUCAAGAAAUUAAAAAAAUGAUUAACUUUCAAUGCUUUAAAUGUUUUGACUCUUCUAAAGAAAACUGUUUUUCUCCCCACAAUAGCUCCGUAAAAGAGUUGAUGGCAAAUGCUCUUUUUCCUGAAGUCUAUUUCAGAGGUUCCUGCUACAGCAAAUCCAAUCACAGGGAGGUGGCCAGGCUCCAACCAGCGCACUAGCAACGGACGCCACGGGACACAACUGACCGUGUUCGUUUACAGAUUCACUUACAGAGUGAAUGUAAUCAGCAACAGCCAUUUAGAUAUUAGGAGAUGGGUUCCUUCCCCACACCCUCAAGGUUGAAAUGGUUUCACCAACUGCCGUCACCAACUCCAAGCAGACUGCUCCAAGCAGAGUUGAAAUGUCGUGAGUCUGAGGGACAGAGAAGAAGCUUGAAGAAUGAAUGAGAAGUAUCUAUGGAUUCAUUCUUAAGUGCAAUUGAGGCACUACUCUGGGAAACUGUAAUGAGGUAGUUUGUUUAUUUAUUCUUUUCAUUAGAGAAGCACAUACACAGAAGAAGAAAGAACUUCAUAAUAAUAUAGUAAAAUCCCAUCUGCCCACAUCAACAGUGAACAUUUUGGCAAUUUUCUUUCAUAUGUCACCCAUCUCCACUUAUUUAUUUAUUUUUUUUAAAUUUUGGUGAAAGGUUUGAAGUACCUAGCUUUGUUAUUUUCUUAAAAUUGUGAAUUUACUUUUUUAGAGUAGCUGUAAGUUCACAGCAAAAUUGAGAGGAAGGCAUGGAGAUUUCUCAUAAACUCCCUGCCCCUAUACGUACAUUGCCUCUCCCAUUAUCAACAUCUCCCAUCAGAGUGGUACGUUGGUUCCACUUGAUGAACUACCAUACACGUCACAAUCACCCAAAGUCCGUAAUUCACACUACAGUCCACUCAUGGUGUUGUGCAUUCCAUGGGUUUGGACAAACGUAUAACGACACGCAUCCAUCAUUAUGGUAUCAUACACAGUAUUUACGCUGCCCUAAAAAUCCUCUGUGUUCCACCUGUUCAUCCCUCCCCCUCCCCCAACCCCUGGCAAUCCACUGAUUACUUUGAUUUUCUGAAAAUGAAGAUAUGGAGGGGUUUUUUGCUUUAAUCCUGCUUGUUAUUCUCUAAGCUUCCUGGAUGUGCGGUUUGGUGUCUGCCAUUAAUUGGGGGAAAUUCUUGGUCAUUAUUCUUUCAAAUAUAUCUUCUGCUCCUUUCUCUCUCUUUUCUUUCUGGUAUUCCCAUUAUGUGUAUGUUACAUCCUUUGUAGUUGUCCCACAAUCCAUGGAUAGUGUAUUCUGUUUUUUUCAGACUGAAAAACUUUUGGUUUUCAAAGUUUCUAUUGGUAUGUUUUCUAGCUCAGAGAUUUUUCCUCAUGUGUUCUAUUUACUAAUGAACCCAUCAAAGACAUUCUUCAUUUCUCUUACAGCAUUUUUUAUCUCCAGCAUUUAUUUUGGUUCUUCCUUAGAAUUUCCAUCUCUCUGCUCACAUAGCCCAACUGUUCUCACAUGCUGUCUCUUUGUCCAUUAGAGCCCUUAGCAUAUUAAUUAUAGUUGUGUUAAAUUUACUGGCUGAUAAUUCCAACAUUCCUGCCAUCUCUGGUUCUGAUGCCUUCUCUGCCUUUUCAAACUGUGGGGUUUUUUUGCCUUUUGGUUUGCUUUAUAAUUUUUCCUUGAAAGCCAAACAUGAUGUACUGGGUAAAAGGAACUGCUGUAAACAGAUCUUUAGGGUGUGGAAGGAGAAGCAUUCUAUAGUCCUAUGAUUAGGUCUCAGAUUUUUAGGGAGCCCAAACCUCUGACUGUGAACUUCACAAGCGUUUUUCAGUAUUUUUUUCUCCCCACUUAGGUGGGACAGGAUGGCUUGAGUGGGCUGGAUUUGGUAUUUCCCUUCUUUGUGGUAGGCUAGAGCUGGCUAGAGUUGGGUAUUUCCCUUCCCCAGGUCAGUUAGGCUCUGAUAAUACCCCAGCAGGUUGGGCUCUAGUUAACCAGUUUCCCCUGAUGUCAGGCCUUGCUAGAAAGGAUAGAGUGCUCUGGUGUAUGUAUUUCAAAAUGGUUCCUUUGCCCCUACCCCCUGCUGAAAGCAGGAAAGGAUUUUCUCUGAUAUCUACUGUGGGACACUGGUUGAGCUCCUGAAGGUAAAUCUAACAAUUUUGUGGGCUCCCCAUGUUGACUGGUUUCCCCUGGGGUUUUUAAUUCUCAGGCUUAUCCACACUGAGCCUCUAGCAGUCAGACAAUUAUAGUUCCGGCUUUCCUACCCAGGUGCUGGUUCCCGAGGCCGUUGGUGCUGUGAAUCUGCUCGUCAGCCACAAUGCCCUUGCCUGUCUGUCUCUCCAAUCUUGGGGGUAGUGGUUUGCCCUGUGCCCUCUUCUCUCUUAUGAACUCAAGAAGAGUUGUUGAUUUCUCAGUCUGUUCCACUUUUUUCUUGUUGUUAGACUGGCAUGACAAUUUCCAAGGUCCUUACAUGCAGAAUUGGAAACCCAGUCUCCACUUGUUUUCAUUUUCCCUUUUGUUUUUUUAAUCAAAACUACAACUAGAUUUGAUUAGGAUUGAUCAGUAGAUUCAAGUAUUGUCAGUCGCAGUAGGCAGAAUUCUAAAGAUGCCCACUCAACUUCCUAGCCUCGGUUAUUCAGUAAAACACUAAUUUUGGUACAGCUGUGAAGGGACUUUUCAGAUCUGAUAACGAUAAAGAGAUUGUAUUGGAUUAUAUGAGUGAACCCAAAUUAAUCACCUGAGCCCUUAAAAGCCGAGAAGUUUCUCAGGCUAUUGUCAGAGAGAAGAGGUAGCAGGAGGGAUGAGACAGAAGAGGAAGUCAGAGAUAGACACGAGAAGAACUAGAACUGUUGUUGACUAUGAAGAUGGAGGAAGGGGAUCAGGAGCUAAGGAAUAUGUGGCCUUCGAAGCUGAGAAUGACCCAUAGCCAAAAGCCAGCAAGUAAAUGGGACCACAGUACUACAACCACAUAGAACUGAGUUCGGCUAAGAAACUUGGAAGUAGAGAUAUCCCCAGAACCUGCAGAAAGAAAUGCAGGCCUGCUGACAGCUUGGUUUCUGUCCAUGUGACAUCUAGGCCUGAAAUCAACAAUUUUUGCACCGCCCUCCCCCGCCAGAACUCUUUUUUUUUUUUUUUUUGUAGGAAACAGUAUUUAUAGAUUAUCAUCUGGGUAAUAGAGGGUGUCAGGUACACAGAUAUCCUGAAGCUAUAAAUCCAGAAAAAUUAACCCAGAUGCUGGCCGCAUUCCCAUGGGGUUUCUGGCCUGGGGCUAGAAUUGAUUAUCAGGACAGAGCCCCAGUGUCCAAAUGCCUGGCAAAGAACAGGAGAUUAAUAUAAAUAUAUGUGUCAUAUUACUUUGCUGUAUGUUUUCAUCUUUUAAAUUCGGUUAUACAUUUUCUUAUUUCAUUGCCCCUGUGACUAGAAACACAGGCUUAUAAGACAAGCUAUCAGGGUGAAGAAUAUUCUCAGCAUUCAUCAGGCAAAAUGAAGUAAAUUGGUCCCUAGAGAAGUUAUUCCCCAUAGCACUGAUCUCAUAAGCACACGAUUUUAACCUACUGACUUACUAAUAUAAGGACUUAUGAUUCCAUAUCACAUACAUAACAGCUUUGCACAAAAUGCCUUAUACAAGGAGGCGGGGCUAUUGCUAUGGGGAUGGGAUAAAUCUGAGGAAUACAUUGAUACUGAACUUCUGACACAAGAUUAUCUAGUUUCUCCAGCUCUUCUUGGGAAAAUAUUAGAAAGAACACAUUAAACACAGAGCAGUUGAAUUUUCACUGAGCCUCGGUAGAUUGUUGCAGCUCUCUUAGGGAAAUCAGGAAAUCAAGAAGGAAUCUCUCCCACUCCAGGGCAGGAGGAAGUUAAUGCCCUCCGGAAUACAAAGAAGAGCGUUGAAAUGUUAACACUGGAGUAAAAUAAACAUUUGUUUCCUUCAACAAACACUCAACAAGUAAUAGCUCUUUCUCAGUGACUAUGUAGUGUUAAAAAAAGACAGCUGAGU
rnacentral:lncRNA from 1 species